AAAUCCGGUUGAUCCUGCCGGAGGCUACCGCUAUUGGAGUUCGAUUAAGCCAUGCGAGUCGCGAGAAAUUAGAUUCUCGGCGUACCGCUCAGUAACACGUGGGUAACCUGCCCUAUGCUGGAUAAUAACCUCGGGAAACUGAGAAUAAUGAUCCAUAGUUCACUACGCCUGGAACGGUGAGUGGAUGAAAGCUCCGGCGGCAUAGGAUGGGCCUGCGGCGUAUCAGGUUGUAGGGGGUGUAACGUACCCUCUAGCCCUCUACGCGUACGGGUGUUGGGAGACAUAGCCCGGAGAUGGAUUCUGAGACACGAAUCCAGACCCUACGGGGUGCAGCAGGCGCGAAAACUU
rnacentral:rRNA from 2 species